rnacentral:rRNA from 1 species
UACGUAGGGGGCUAGCGUUGUCCGGAAUCAUUGGGCGUAAAGAGCGUGUAGGCGGUCCGGUAAGUCCGUUGUGAAAGUCAAGGGCUCAACCCUUGAAUGCCGGCGGAUACUGUCGGGCUAGAGUCCGGAAGAGGCGAGUGGAAUUCCCGGUGUAGCGGUGAAAUGCGUAGAUAUCUGGAGGAAUACCGGUGGCGAAGGCGGCAUCCUGGACCGGCAUUGACGCUGAAGCGCGAAAGCUAGGGGAGCAAACGGG